rnacentral:rRNA from 1 species
CCUANGGGUGGCAGCAGUGGGGAAUAUUGGACAAUGGGGGAAACCCUGAUCCAGCGACGCCGCGUGGGUGAAGAAGGCCUGCGGGUUGUAAAGCCCUUUCGGUAGGGACGAAAGCUCUCGACCUAACACGUCGGGAGGAUGACUUAACCUACAAAAGAAGCACCGGCUAACUCUGUGCCAGCAGCCGCGGUAAUACAGAGGGUGCGAGCGUUAAUCGGAAUUACUGGGCGUAAAGCGCACGUAGGCGGCUUGGUAUGUCGGGUGUGAAAUCCCCGGGCUCAACCUGGGAACUGCAUCCGAAACUGCCUUGCUAGAGUAUGGGAGAGGGAAGUGGAAUUUCCGGUGUAGCGGUGAAAUGCGUAGAUAUCGGAAGGAACAUCAGUGGCGAAGGCGACUUCCUGGACCAAUACUGACGCUCAGGUGCGAAAGCGUGGGGAGCAAACAGGAUUAGAUACCCUANUANUC